UACGUAGGUCCCGAGCGUUGUCCGGAUUUAUUGGGCGUAAAGCGAGCGCAGGUGGUUUAUUAAGUCUGGUGUAAAAGGCAGUGGCUCAACCAUUGUAUGCAUUGGAAACUGGUAGACUUGAGUGCAGGAGAGGAGAGUGGAAUUCCACGUGUAGCGGUGAAAUGCGUAGAUAUAUGGAGGAACACCGGUGGCGAAAGCGGCUCUCUGGCCUGUAACUGACGCUGAUGCUCGAAAGUGUGGGUAUCAAACAGG
rnacentral:rRNA from 1 species